rnacentral:lncRNA from 1 species
UUUUUUUUUUUAUUUUUUUUUUUUUUUUCUUUUUAGGGCCAUACCUGCAGUAUAUGGAAGUUCCCAGGCUACAGGUCAAAUCAGAGCUGUGUCUGUGACCUACACCACAGCUUGCAGCAACGCCAGGAUCCUUAACCCACUGAGCGAGGCCAAGAAUCAAACCCGCGACCUCACGGAUACUAUACUAGCUGGACUCAUUACCGCUGAGCCACAACGGAACUCUUCGUCAGCUAUUAUUAAUAGCUAAUAAUGUGAGCAGGGAUGUAGGUCAUAAAGGUAUUAAUCCCAAUGGACUUUUGGGGUGAGAUCUUUACAAAAGCAUGCAGAGCUCUGGCUUUGUAGAAAUGGGAGUAAGUACAAGAAAGGUACUAGAACACUGGAUUACCAAAAACUCAUGAAAUUCAAAAAAGCUACUGAGAAAAAAAAAAAAAAAAACCAAAGAACUAUAAACCAGCUGAAGAAAAAUAAUGUCUUUAAGAGACUUGAAAAUUUUAGAAAUUCCUAAAAAUUAGAAAAGAGGGCAGUAGUGAGUGCUGGAUGGUGACUCUAAUUUAUAUUCACACGUUUGCUCAUAUUCCUCCCUUGGAGGGUGGCCCACACUUAGUGACUUGCUUCUAACAGAAGAGAAUGCACCAAAGUGAUGGCAUGUUGACCUCUGAGACUUAGUCAUAAAAGACAUUUGGGGCUUCUUCCUGCUCUUCUUGGAUCACAAGCUCUGGGGGAAUCCAACUGCCAAGCCCUGAGGAUACCGAGCAGCCCUAUGUACAUGCACAUCGGGGAGAGACGGAGGCUGAGGCUGUUUUCAAACUGCCAGCUUUAACUCACCAGUGAUAUGAGUCUGACACCAUGGAAGCAGAUUCUCCAGCCCCAGUCAAGCCUUCAGAUGAGCCCAGGCUAACCCUGUGACCUCAUGAGACUCUGAGGCAGAACUACCAGCAAGCCACUCCCAGGGUCCCAACCCACAGACAUUAAGUGUGAUGUCGUUGUUUUAAACUGAUAACUUUUAGGGUAAUUUGUUAUGCAUCAUUUGAUGGCCAAUAUUUCAUGUUUGAGCUUGAUGUUAGAUGGGACUUUUUUUUUUUUUUAAGAAUUUUUGACUGCACUCAUAGCAUAUGGAAGUCCCCAAGCCAGGGAUCAAAUCCAAGCUGAAGCUGCAACUACACCACAGCUGUGGCAACGUCAGAUCCUUAACCCACUGUGUUGGGCUGGGGAUAAAACUCUCAACACCACACAGAGACAAUGCUGGAACCUUAGCGCUACACCAUAGCAGGAACUCCCAGCACUUAGAUAUUUUUAAAUAGAAAUUUCUCCUCAUCUCGACUCCCUCUUCAGGGGACAUGACACGUUAUCCCCUGCACUCUUAAGCUGGAUAGAUACAAGUUUAGGAAUAAGAUGGAGAUGGGUUGGGAGGAGAGGUUUCUCUCUUUACCCACUUCCUGAGCUUUGACUAACAGACAGCUCAUCCUGAAAUAAGCCAUGCACCUCACUCAGACAAUGGAAGAUUCGCUUUCUUUUUUACAACAUCCCUCCAAACAUAGAAAAGCAGUGAAUUUCUCAGUCUAGAAAUGCUCAGAAGUUAUACAAAGAGGCAGUCACUCGGCAGUUUAAAAGGUCUGAUUGUCUAUAGAUGUUUGACCCCGAGGCCAUAUUGUCCAGGGCUUCUAUUCUGUUUUUAUUUCUACUACAAUUUAUUGAAUUUCCUUUCAAUCUACAAAAGCUGUACUACAUACCUGUUGCAAUAAAACAACUGCUAUUGCAUAAAGAAAAUGCCAACAAUCUUCCCCAUUUCCCACCCCCAGGGCAAUCAAUGUUAAUUAUUUGUUCUGGAGUCUUUCACCCCCUUUCUCUAUGUACAUGGACAAAGACACAUGUUUUCGUUUUAUUUUUACCUGUCCUGCGCCACUUGCACUAGUUUUCAAUAUGUAUUUUUUUCACUUAAAACAUGGUCUAGGUAUUACUUUAUAUUAAUACAACUAAAUCUAGAAGUUCCCAUUGUGGUACAGCGGAAACAAAUCCGAGUAGGAACCAUGAGGUUGUGGGUUCGAUCCCUGGCCUUGCUCGGUGGGGUAAGGAUCCGGUGUUGCCGUGAGCUGUGGUGCAGGUCACAGACGUGGUUCACAUCUGGCAUUGCUGUGGCUGUGGUGUAGGCCGGCAGCUGUAGCUCCAAUUUGACCCCUAGCCUGGGACCCUCCAUAUGCCACAAGUGUGGCCCUACAUAAAAAUAAAAAAAAAUAAAUCUAAGUAAUUGUUUUGUAUAGCUACAUAAUAUUCCACGGUAUAGCUGGACUAUAAUUUAUUCAACCAUUCUACUGGUUUUUAAAAGCUUUUAUGAUUAAGAAUGUAGUAUAACCAUCCUUUUUGAUAUAUUUUUACCUCUUGGAACCUAUAGGACUUUAAAACUUAUACCUCAGUGAUUUGAGUCACUGGUAAAUUCUUUUAAGUUUUAUAAUAGUGUUUUAGCUGAUAAAACGUAGUCUUUCACAGCUCUAACACAAGUGUACAGAAGUUCUGUUUCUCCAUAUUCUUAUCAGGGCUUAGGAUGUAUAAAGUUCUGCGAUUUGGGGUAAAAACCAUAUCCCCAUACUCUUGUUGAACAUCUUUUCAUGUGUUUCGGGACACUGACUUUAUUUUUUUGCUUUUUUAGGGCCACACCCAUGGCAUUCCCAGGCUAGGGGUUAUAUCAGAGCUACAGCUGCCGGCCCACACCACAGCAAUGCAGGAUCUGAGCCAAGUCUGGGACCUACACCACAGCUCAUGGCAACACCAGAGCCUUAACCCAUUGAGUGAGGCCAGGAUCAAACCCACAACCUCAUGGUUCCUAGUCGGAUUCAUUUCCACUGCACCACAUGGGAACUCCUGACCAUUCUUUUUGUCUUCACAAAUCUUCUGAAAGCCAUGGCAAUAGAAGGCACAUAUUUUUUUUUUUAAAUUAACAGGCUUUAGUUUUUAGAGCAGUUUUAGGUUCACAGCAAAGUUAAGCAUUGAGCAAAUUGUACAGAAAGUUCCCACAUAUCCUCCCCCCUCCCCCCCCCACACACAGCCUACCCCACCGAACCAACACUGACAAAUUAUCAUCAAUCUAGUUUACAUUAGAGUUAUCUCCUUGUGUUUUACAAAAUUUUAACAAAUUUAUAACAUAUACCCACCAUUGUAGAAUCAUACAAAUUGUUUCACAGCCCUAAAUAAGAUCACCUGUGUCUGACCUAUUGCUUCCUCCCUCAUAACCAUAUAUAUAUACCAUUUAUACAUACAUAUAUAUAAACUGCACACAUACUUAAAAGAGAAAGUUAGGUUCUGAAACAAUGUAGUGGAAGUGGCUCCCUGGGGCCUCAGGCUGUGCUCCCCCACCAGACGGUGCCACUGGUUGGACUCCAUGAUCUGGAGGGACCGCAGGAAGGGCUUCAGGGUCAGACAGCUUUAGACUGAGUUCUGCAAUCAAGCAGAGCCACAAGCUGUGCUCCAAAGUUGGGCAGGGCCACAGGCUGGGCUUUGCAAUCAAGUAGGUCACUAGCUCUGCUCCACCUUUGGGCAAGGUCACCGGCUAGGCUCUCUGGUCUGGUCGGACAAGGCAUCCAGUUGUAUCCAGCAGUGUGGUGAGGUGAAGACUAUUCGCCAUGGUUGGGCAGGGUGCUCUCUGAGUUACCUGGUUGGGUGGGGCAACAGGUCGUGCUCCAUAGUUGGGUGGGUUCACUGGCAGGGCUCCUGCCUGGAUGAUGCACCCAGCUAUGUUCAGCAAUCACGCAGGACCACAGGCUGGGCCUGCGGCUGCCCAGGGUCACUGUUUAGGCUCCCUGGGUGUGUGAAACCAGCAGCUAUGCAGUUGAGCAGGGCUGCUGGCUUGGUUCCUGGCUGUAAGAUGAGCUCCAGAGCUGCCUGGGUUCACUGGCCAAGCCUUCCACUCUGGCAGGACUGGAGGCUACAUUAAGCAACUAGUAAAACCUAUAAUUUUGCUUCCCUGCCGGGGUUUGGCCAUAGAAUAGGCUCCAUGGCCAGUAGACCCCACUGGCUAGGCUCUGCAGAUGGGCAGAUAGAACCACUCGGGUGCUGCUGCAACAGUAAUAUGGUCCACCAAGAUCUGACUGCAUCCCUUUUCCAUCUCUAUCUGAUCCCCGGCGAUCAACCUUAUAGAUUCCCACAGAGAUCCCCACAAUGCAAGAUCUGCAUGGGCCUCCCAGGAAGUACAUCCAAAGCUGGGGGAGCUGAAGGUCCAUUUUGCUCUCCUUUCCCACUGAGGAAACUGCAGGCCCUGGGCAGCAUGGUGUUGUAUCUACAUAGGAAGGGGCCAUGCUGUCAAAGUGAAACCUCUCCUCUUCCUAUUCUAAUGCAGUCCCUUCUCUAUCUCCAUGUUCUAAGGAGCUUGCUUCAGCCUCACCCUCAGGUUCUAGGAUUUUUACGAUGGUGCCUUGUCUAUGGAUAGUUAUUAGGUGGUCUUCUUGUGAGGGGGACUAAAGCUAGGAAUAACCUAUGCUGCCAUCCUGAUGUUACUUCUAGGAGCUCCCAAAUCACAGCCCAGGAGGGUGGGAGUGGGUUAAUGGUUCAUUACAAAGGCCGAGGUCCGUAUGUGUAUCACUUGAUAUGUAGGUGGGCAUGACUCCCCCUGGGUCCCUUGGUGUAUGGUGCUAUGACAGAAUCAAAGCCAAACAGAGCUGCAGUAAAGUUCUCAGAGGACAGAGCUGUUUCCAGGUAUGCAGUUGGGACCAUGGACAGAGGAUCAGCCAGCUGAGAAAGAGCCUGCCUUCUCAAAAUGGGUCUCCUUGGUCUUGGACUGCAGUGGGAUUUCACCAACUCCUAACUGGAUCCCAAGCUCUCACAAAGGCACUCUUGCCUGAGGAUGGAUUCCAAAUUAUUGUUGUUGAAUGGGGGAUAUAAAUGAGGGACAUCUUAUUUGGCCAUCUUGCUGGCAUCACCCUCCCCAACUUAUUUAAAUAUGAGAGCAUGACCUUACUUCAAAAUCUGGCAAGGACAACAGCAAUAUUUAAAAUCUGUAACACAUCAAAACCAUGUGGGAUUUAUUUCAGAAAUGCAAAAUUGGAUUGACACUUUAAAAUCAAUUAAUUUAUUUCACCACAAUUACAGAAAUAAAGAGAAUGACUGUAUCAUUAUCUCAAUGGAUGAAGAAAAAGCCUUUUAUGAAAUUUAGCAUCCCAUCAUGAUGAAUCUCUUAGCAAACUAACACCAUAUGAGAAUACUGAAAAUACAUUGCAGAGCACAGAUUUAUUUUGUGACAUCAUUCUGGCUGUUCAAAAUGUAUUUUGGUUUCCUCCUUAAUUUUCUUUUGCUCAGGGUAAUAAAGAACUGAUUAAUGAAGAGCUUAAUAAUUAUACAUGAAAUACCUCUGCAUAGAAAAAAAAAGCAUUUCACAAGCUCCACAAGGCAUUUAAGAAAUUAACUGAAUUUAACAGGCAACUUGAAACAAAGCAAAAAGAAGUAUUAGAAAUAUAAGGAAGACAUUCCAGCAACAAUGCCAUUCAAAUGCCAGUCAUAUUUAUUUGUGGAUGGGGCUUGGUGACACAUAACACUGCACCCAUAGCUCAAAGCUAAACUCUUUUCUGCCACCGUGGAAGAUCAGAACUGGAAAUUUAUUUCAUAUAUGCAAGACAGGAUUCCAGACAGUCAAAUCUCUAAUUACUUCCAUGAAGAACAGCCCUUAUUUGAGUUCCCUUCAUGGCUCAGUGGAAAUGAAUCUGACUAGAAUCCAUGGCUCAGUGGAAAUGAAACUGACUAGCAUCCAGUCUUGAUCCCUGGCCUUGCUCAGUGGGUCAAGGAUCCGGCGUUGACUUGAGCUGUGGUGUAGGUCGCAGACAUGGCUCAGAUCUGGUGUUUCUGUGACUGAGCCAGCGGCUACAGCUCCAAUUUGACCCCUAGGCUGGGAACCUCCAUGUGUCGCAAGUGCGGCCCUGAAAAAAACAAAAAAACAAAACAAAAGGCAAUAAAAAAAAUGGCCCUUAUGGAAACCAUUCCCCUAGGAAUCCCCCUCUUGUCCCAGAAGAGUCUUGGGGUGAGCCCUACAAAAUAUCUCUGCCAUAGACCUUUCCUUGAUUGACCCAGAGACCAGCAAUGGCCCCCAAAGACUUCCUACACCAGCACUGGGGAGCACUGAAGUGGUCAAAUCAUCAGUGAUUUUGGAGACAACAUUGCAACCCCAUGGUACAAACUGUAUCCUCCAAUUCUUGGCCUAAUGAGAACUAAUUCACUGUCCUUGCUGGAAAUACUAGAAAGGAGCCUGAAGUUAAAGGAGAGGUCACUAAAGGCUCAACAACAAAGAAUUAGUUUCUGCAGAUGUUUCUCCAGCUGUAGAACCCAGCACAUGUCACAACUAAUAGGUUCUCUAGGGGACAAAAUCCCCUUCUUAUCUACCCAAAAAAGACAAAAGCAGAAAAAUAUUUACCCAUCAAAUGUCAAAGAGUGGAUGGAAAAUUUUCAUUAGCAACUGCUUUCCUCCUUUGCCUGCAUGUCCUUUGACCAACUCUACCACCUCCCCUACCUGCUGAGCAGACUUUAAGGCCAACAGCAGUGUGGGCAUAUGUAACACAGUGCCCUCACAGAGUGGUGAGCUUCUCGCCAAUAGGAACUUCUGUCACAAAGCUCAGACCUUUCAGGGUUUACGUAGGUGGAAUGGGAGGUGGAGGGGAUUACAUAGUAUCAAUAAUCUGUGAAUGAUUUUUACUUUUGCACACAGAUGCCAAGUGUCUGAGUGUCUGAAAGGGAAGAAGGAAAUGACCUUUGACUGAGAAAUCAAUGGUGGUUAAUUAUUAAAAAUAUCAGUCAUUCCAUAUAUUCCAACCUCUGUUUCCCAGAUUCCAGUAAUUACAAGACUGAGAGAAUCAUCUGAAAGCAUUCAAGUGCAGGUAAGAGCCCAAACGGAGAAAGGAUGGAUAGAGCUAACAACUCAAGGUCCCAGAAGCCCAAGUUUGGAGGUCCUUGUUUCAUGCUCAAAGUUCAGUUCUGCUUAACUUCCCAUUGCCACUGCCAGGUUCUUUUUUAGCCAUGGGAAGGUCUCCCUGAACUCUGGCCUGUGGGCUGUAAGACAGAUUCCGAGGGCGUGCAUGUUUACUUCUCUUAUCCUGCUCAGAAUAGUCAUUUCCCAGAACGACACCCUCCCUUUCUCAUGAGUUCUGAGUAUAUGUAUUUAAGCAUUGCCAGGUGCAGAGAGAGGUACAAAAAAAAAUGUACCACCUAAUCUUUGGCCUCCGGGGGCUAACAAGUCCUCCGCCACUGUAAAUUCCCUUUUAAAGCUCCUGUCAUGCUCUUCAUUGAGCUCAAUCCCCUUUUAUCACCAUCUCCACAGACAUGGGAGAACCUCUCCUCCACUUCCUAAGAGUUAAAUUAAACAUCUGAUUCAGAGCCUUUUUUUUUCCCCCUCUUUGCCAGGCUCACUGUGUAGAUUCACCGGCUGUGAACUCCGGUGAUCCACUUCUCAACUGUGAAGCCGAGGACUUAAGAGUAUACUGGCUGCUCCUGGUGAAAAUGUGAUUGGUCUCUCCUUCCCAUGUCUAUGGCCCCAGGGGGAGACUUGGACAGCCUUGUCCUCAGCCUGCUGGAUAUCAUUCUUUUUUCAUUUCUGGUUUGCACACCAUUCCCUCACUGCAACAUCACUGAGGGGUCUCCCAGUCUCUCCUAUGCUCAGGCCCCCAGCCUUAUUUAGCAUCCUCACACGCAGCAUGUAUCACCUCCUAAUUUAUGGAGAAGACUUAAAGGGUCUUUUUAUUUGGAACCCAAAGCCUCAUACUUUAACCCUCCCUUCUCUGGCCUCAUCUUCUCUGGAGAAAACAUAUUCCCUACCAAUGCCCCAAACCUAGAGUUAAGAAGAAAGAACCUAGGAGUUUCCAUUGUGGUGCAGCAGAAAGAAUUCAACUAGUAACCAUGAAGAUUUAGGUUCAAUCCCUGGCCUUGCUCAGUGGAUUAAGGAUCUGGCAUUGCCAUGAGGUGUAGGUUGCAGAUACAGCUCAGAUUCUGCGUUGCUGUGCCUGUGGCUUGGCACAGGCCAAUGGUGUACGUCUGAUUUGACCCCUAGCCUGGGAACCUCCAUAUGCCGUGGGUGCAGCCCUAAAGAGCAAAAAAAAAAAAAA